rnacentral:lncRNA from 1 species
UCUAUCCCAGGUACAUUGGCUUUCAGGAAUUCGAGAAAUGUCUCUGUAUCUAUCGAUUGGAACUUGAAGGUGGCAAUAUACUUCUUCAGGAAUUCAUCAAAUGCAGGUCGGCCAAUCUAGUACAAUUAACAGGCAUAGAACAGUGCACAGUCACAGUUAGUCGUUGAAUUCUUACUGAUUUCAUCAGAUAACGGUGCAAAUAAGUGUAAAGCAAAUCUUGUGUUAUACCCACCUGGCGUUCGAUGCGCCAAAGGAACUGGAAGCCUUUCUCAUAGGGCACUUCUGAGUACACAUCAUCAGGAUCAAUCCCUGCCAUCUUCGGCUUGAGCUUGGUGAACUCCAUGUUAUCCUUAAAUCUCUCCAUCAUUCUAUUCAACCCUCUCCAUCCAAUUCCGCUGUUUAAGGCCGCCCG